UACGUAGGUGGCAAGCGUUGUCCGGAUUUACUGGGCGUAAAGGGCGCGUAGGCGGUCAGCACAAGUCAGUUGUGAAAUCUCCGGGCUUAACUCGGAAAGGUCAACUGAUACUGUGCGACUAGAGUGCAGAAGGGGCAACUGGAAUUCUCGGUGUAGCGGUGAAAUGCGUAGAUAUCGAGAGGAACACCUGCGGCGAAGGCGGGUUGCUGGGCUGACACUGACGCUGAGGCGCGAAAGCGUGGGGAGCGAACAGG
rnacentral:rRNA from 1 species